rnacentral:rRNA from 1 species
AUCGAACGCUGGCGGCAGGCCUAACACAUGCAAGUCGAACGAGUGGCGGACGGGUGAGUAAUGUAUGGGAAACUGCCUGAUGGAGGGGGCUAACUACUGGAAACGGUAGCUAAUACCGCAUACCAUCCGAUUUGCCCAGUUGGGCUUAGCUAGUUGGUGGGGUAACGGCUCACCAAGGCGACGAUCCCUAGCUGGUCUGAGAGGAUGACCCGCCACACUGGAACUGAGCCACGGUCCAGACUCCUACGGGAGGCAGCAGUGGGGAAUAUUGCGCAAUGGGCGCAAGCCUGAUGCAGCCAGGCCGCGGGUAGGAAGAAGGCCUUCGGGUUGUAAAGUACUUUCAGCGGGGAGGCGUUACCCGCAGAAGAAGCACCGGCUAACUCCGUGCCAGCAGCCGCGGUAAUAC